rnacentral:misc_RNA from 1 species
AGUUGAGUUGAGUUGAGUAUUUUUUUAAUAUUAAAGUAUGGUUUUCAAGUAAAUGAGAAACAUAUGAUUUCCACAUUCUACAUUGCCCCUAUUUGAUGGUUACUUGCCCGCUUUUGCCUCUAUCAUUUUGUUUGCUUGCCUUCGCCAACUAGUUGAGGAUGUGUUAUUUUCCUUCAAAAAUAAGUGGAACUAAGAAGCUUUGAAAUCAAGAAAAAUGUUAUAACCUGUUUUAUUAGGAUUGAAAGCAAUCUCUAAUAAACGUGGCAUGAUGCUAAAUUGUGUUGGAUUCAUUAAAAUAAAUAUGCAUGCUAGUGUUAUUAAGACGAGAGGCGACACUAAGUUGACAAGGUACCUAUGGCCUUAGGCUAGAGGUGAGAGGCAAGACGGGGGCCUUUUUGAAAUAAG